CGUUUACAACAAAUGACUUAUAUUAAUUAUCAAGCCAAAACAAACACGUGUUAAUUAUUAUUGUGAAUAUACACUUGACUAUAAAGUACUUACAAAUUCUGACGAAGUUCUAAACGAGGAGAAGACUUUACUGUAUAUUAAUAUAUGUAUUAUAUUUUACAAGAUCACAUUCAAAAAUUCCAGAAAAGUAUAUUUCACUUCAUCAUAUGAUGGUCUAGACAACGACCGUAUUUCGUGCUACGCGCCUACGCCACUGAUAUAAUAUAAAUUAUAAUAUAGAUUAUAGGUAAACAUGGUAACAUAUUGUAUAACAAGGUUUCUCUGGUUUUUCAUACUUGGUUAUCAGUUCAUCCAAACAAUCGUGUUCAGUUUGUGCAUUCGGCGCACUGAAAAUAUCAUACAGCUGAUAAGGGAAAAACAUGUGCACAUGAACCGAAUAUUUUUAUGUACGAUAAUAAUAUACUUUGUAUAGUUAGUAUUUACGAGUUAUGUUA